rnacentral:rRNA from 1 species
GACGGACGCUGGCGGCGUGCUUAACACAUGCAAGUCGAACGGAAAGGCCCCAGCUUUCUGGGGUGCUCGAGUGGCGAACGGGUGAGUAACACGUGGGUGAUCUGCCCUGCACUCUGGGAUAAGCCUGGGAAACUGGGUCUAAUACCGGAUAGGACCGUGCUUUGGUGUGUGCGGUGGAAAGUUUUUCGGUGCAGGAUGAGCCCGCGGCCUAUCAGCUUGUUGGUGGGGUAAUGGCCUACCAAGGCGGCGACGGGUAGCCGGCCUGAGAGGGUGGACGGCCACAUUGGGACUGAGAUACGGCCCAGACUCCUACGGGAGGCAGCAGUGGGGAAUAUUGCACAAUGGGCGCAAGCCUGAUGCAGCGACGCCGCGUGGGGGAUGACGGCCUUCGGGUUGUAAACCGCUUUCGGCAGGGACGAAGCUUUUGUGACGGUACCUGCAUAAGAAGCACCGGCUAACUACGUG